GUGGUUCGUGAUCGCCUCAUCCUAAAUGGGCGGCUAUCCCAUCCUAAAGUUGGGCAUCUCCUCUCAAGGGUGGUACAUCCACUGACCUUUCAACCCCAAGGGGUUUCACAUCCUUUCAAGUGUUUCACGUCCCUACUUCAAAAACAGAAAAAGGGUCUGACGCGCGCGCACGAACCAAUGGCACAACCGUGCGCAUCAACCUCAGACCAUAGGUCUCGAGCGCCUCAUCCUACAGUGG
rnacentral:lncRNA from 1 species